AGCUGUGGUUUCGGUACUCUCCCAGUAACUGUUUUUUGGACAACCAGUCACAGCUGGUGGAUUGGAAUCAGGAUCUGCCUAUAAAGAUGCCCAUGCUGCUAGGACCUGUAUUUGCAAGGAAGUGCAAGUGGAGAGUGUAGAAGGUUGCUGCUGGGAGGACUGUGUGUCUCAGUGGUUUCUCCCCUUCAGAAAUAACAACUGCAGCMAACAUCUUUUGUGUAGCAGCAUCUGAGACUACUAAACAUGAAGAUCAAGAAGGAAGGACUGGCUGCAGGGAGACCCUCUGUAGUAUGUAUCAGGUUGUUGAGAGAGUGAGACCAAGCCAGCCAACGUUGGG